UACGUAGGGUGCAAGCGUUGUCCGGAAUUAUUGGGCGUAAAGAGCUCGUAGGCGGUUUGUCGCGUCUGCUGUGAAAACCCGAGGCUCAACCUCGGGCCUGCAGUGGGUACGGGCAGACUAGAGUGCGGUAGGGGAGACUGGAAUUCCUGGUGUAGCGGUGAAAUGCGCAGAUAUCAGGAGGAACACCGGUGGCGAAGGCGGGUCUCUGGGCCGUAACUGACGCUGAGGAGCGAAAGCAUGGGGAGCGAACAGG
rnacentral:rRNA from 1 species